AGUAAAGCAGCUAAAAGAGUUUUGUGUAUUAUGGGAAAAACAUAAUAGAAUUUAGUGUAUAUGAUGGCAAGAAACGUGCAUGUUUGAUGGAACUUGAAAGUUGGUUUAUAGGUACUUUUUCUUUGAUGAUGUUCUGACAUUAGAGCUUCGGGGGUAUAUCUUCUUUUGGAGUAUUGUCCUCAAUAUCUGUUUACAUUCAGAAAUACUUGUCAAUAUUAGAUUACGAAAGUUAAGAUCGACAAUUUGAGUAUUGAUGUGUGUUCUUGAUUCUACCUUCUCCAUUUUCGACUCCAGAGCUGGUCUCAGAGGAGGAGUAACCACAGCAGGUGGUGCGGUACCUCCUCCACAGACAAAAAUCUUCUUGAGAAGGAGGGAUAAAGUUCUUUUGCCAAUAAUUGCGGUGUCAUUAGCGUCCACACCUACAUCUUUGCCUUUACUGAAUCCAAAGGUUAAUUGUCUGUUAAGAAAUAUAUUUGAUGGACAAUGCUUGCUGACUUCAAAUUCCAAGGUCGGGCCCGAUUGCUUAAGGGAAGAUGAUGAAUUCUCUUGUGACCUUUUUGGCCGUGCUUCAUUCAGAUUCUCGUCUCCAAACGUUCCAAUCGCCAGCAAUACAUGAGACCAGUUGCUGAAUUCUUCUGGGAUCAUCAAAGUGAUGCAGAAAAUCCGGGUAGCUGCUCUGUUGAUGGAAGUGCAUGGAGGAAGAUGGACAAAGAAGAAAAGGACAUGAAAGACUGAGCUAUCACGCACGAAGAAGAUUUGAGGAAGAACAUCUCUUUUUUAUCAGAAAUAUAAAAUAAUAUAUAUGGAUGGCCAAUGGAAAGAGAAUCCUCCAAAAGCAGUAGCCUGGAUUUGUUAUGGACACGUGAAGGUGUCCAUAAUUCAUAAGGUGGGCGGUGGAAGCUUUAAACAAGUGCAUAUCGGACGGACCAUCGAAUCAGGCUUUGCAUGUUUACAUAAAGGAGCAGGUGAGUAAUUGUAUACAAAAUAAUGCCUCCUUUCUGAAUGGAUGACCCUACACUUUGAUGUCAUUUCUCCCUUCAAACAGUAGUAUUCGAAGAAUUGUCUCGACUGCGUUUGGGCACAAGUUGAGUUGAAUGGAGUGACUAUUAUACACCAUUCACUGUUUGAACUUCUUGUUGCGAUAGAUGAAGUUGGUUACACUGAUAUUUCACCUAUUAUGAAGCUACAGAGAAACCCACAAUUAGCUACUCAAUACUCAUUAUCUAACUUUGUUUUUUUU